UACGAGGGGGGCGAGCGUUGUUCGGAAUUAUUGGGCGUAAAGGGUGCGUAGGCGGUUCCGCAAGUCCUGUGUGAAAUCUUCGGGCUCAACUCGAAGUCUGCACGGGAAACUGCGGGGCUUGAGUGUGGGAGAGGUGAGUGGAAUUUCCGGUGUAGCGGUGAAAUGCGUAGAUAUCGGAAGGAACACCUGUGGCGAAAGCGGCUCACUGGACCAUUACUGACGCUGAGGCACGAAAGCUAGGGGAGCAAACAGG
rnacentral:rRNA from 1 species